AGCGAACGCUGGCGGCAGGCCUAACACAUGCAAGUCGAACGAACCUUUCGGGGUUAGUGGCGGACGGGUGGGUAACACGUGGGAACGUGCCUUUAGGUUCGGCAUAACUCAGGGAAACAUGUGCUAAUACCGAAUGUGCCCUUCGGGGGAAAGAUUAAUCGCCUUUAGAGCGGCCCGCGUCUGAUUAGCUAGUUGGUUGAGGUAAUGGCUCACCAAGGCGACGAUCAGUAGCUGGUCUGAGAGGAUGAUCAGCCACAUUGGGACUGAGACACGGCCCAAACUCCUACGGGAGGCAGCAGUGGGGAAUCUUGCGCAAUGGGCGAAAGCCUGACGCAGCCAUGCCGCGUGAAUGAUGAAGGUCUUAGGAUUGUAAAAUUCUUUCACCGGGGACGAUAAUGACGGUACCCGGAGAAGAAGCCCCGGCUAACUUCGUG
rnacentral:rRNA from 1 species